rnacentral:rRNA from 1 species
GGGGAACCAGGACUUUUACUUUGAAAAAAUUAGAGUGUUCAAAGCAGGCCUUUGCUCGAAUACAUUAGCAUGGAAUAAUGGAAUAGGACGGCGCUCCUAUUUUGUUGGUUUCUAGGACCGCCGUAAUGAUUAAUAGGGACAGUCGGGGGCAUCAGUAUUCAAUUGUCAGAGGUGAAAUUCUUGGAUUUAUUGAAGACUAACUACUGCGAAAGCAUUUGCCAAGGAUGUUUUCAUUAAUCAGGAACGAAAGUUAGGGGAUCGAAGACGAUCAGAUACCGUCGUAGUCUUAACCAUAAACUAUGCCGACUAGGGAUCGGACGGUGUUAUUUUUUGACCCGUUCGGCACCUUACGAGAAAUCAAAGUGCUUGGGCUCCAGGGGGAUUAUGGUCGCAAGGCUGAAACUUAAAAGAAAUUGACGGAAGGGCACCACCAGGGGUGGAGCCUGCGGCUUAAUUUGACUCAACACGGGGAAACUCACCAGGUCCAGACACAAUGAGGAUUGACAGAUUGAGAGCUCUUUCUUGAUUUUGUGGGUGGUGGUGCAUGGCCGUUCUUAGUUGGUGGAGUGAUUUGUCUGCUUAAUUGCGAUAACGAACGAGACCU